rnacentral:lncRNA from 1 species
GUAGGGUUUCUUUUAAGCAGUAAAGUGUGAAAUGCUACAAUCCACGUUAGCAAAACCUGAAGGGAAUAAGAAUUAAUGGGUGAAAAAAUUCAUCAAUGAAAAGGACUUAUCAUUAGAAAAAAAUUACUCAGAUUUGGGCUAUCAGAUAACAUCUUUGAAGAUUUUUUUUUGUUUUGGUUUUGGUCUAUUACUGCAUAAAUUUAGUGUCUGUUCUAUUGGUGAGCCAGAACUACAAGGACCAAAAAAUAUUUGGAUCAUUUGGGGAAAGGAGGCAUAUGAAAUUCAGGAUAAAAAUUCUUACAAUUGAAUAUUUUUCAUUUUGCUCAAUGGAAAUACAUUGAAAAUUUAAAACCUGAUAUGUAAAGUCCCAGUUUAAGAAAUGCUCAUAUACUGUCUCCUUGUAAGGUAAUUAAAUUCCUCUCAAAUGAAUCUUACACUUUCAACAUUCUCAUCCAGUUGACUUGUAAAAUAUAACCAUUUUUAUGAUUUUGAUUUCUUAAGUUUCAUUAUAAAUUACAAUCUUAAUUGGAAAGUUGAGUAUUUCUGAAGGGACCUCUACUAAGUCAAUAACUAUCAGAUUUAUCUUUAUUUCUAGCCCAAAUAGGCUUCCAUAAGUAGAGGAAAAUACCUUAUUCCCUUCAGGUUUCCGUACCAGCAAGCUAUGGAUGCCUCAUCUUUGUCUUUAAUUGUGUUGUGGCCUCUGUGAUAUUGAUUGCGUUUCAUGUUACUUGCUAAUGUGGAAAGCCAGAUAAUACAGCAUGUGGAGAUAAUCUCCAAAAAAGUAACGGAUAUGCGUGCAUGGCAGCUGUCCAUGUGUGGGUUGGAAUGGCACAGGCUGCCAGCUUGAUGUUUUCAAAUUCAGCUUUGUAGGAGGCCAUAAAUUAUUCAACACCCAGCUGAUUUUUAUUUAUAAUUGAAAAAAAAUUAGCAUGCAGUGCCUUUUGUUCACAUGAGAGUUUCAAAGCAUAGUCCAUUGGUACUGGCCUAAUGGUUUCUGUGAGAUGUUAACUGGAACCUGGAUUUUUAACUUUUCAUGUUUAAACAGGAUCAGCCCUGCUCUAACUCAUUCUGGAUUUGACAAAUAAAACUAUGUUUCUCAUGAGGUGGUCCCUGGACCUCCUUGCCUCAGAAUCACCUAGGAUGCGUAAGAAAAAUUUAGACCCUGAAUCCUAUCAAAGAACAACUGAAUCAGCAUUUCUGAGUAUGAUGCCUAGAAAUUUGCAGUUUAUCAUGCCCCUAUCCAUUUCAAAACACACAGGAAUGUCUGCCUGAACUUAUAUUUUAAGGACAGUGAAUUGUAACCCAGACAACAUGGAAAUAUAAAAGGGAAAAGAGCCUCUUUGGUGGGAAUACAAUUGUGUUCAUGUGUGAAAUGCAAAGCUGAGAAUGAGCCUAAUGGUCGGAGGAAUUAACUGUUUCCCUAAGUGCCUAAUUUACUAUAAGGAAUUGUAUUUGCUGCAUAGAAGAAAGUAACUUUUUAUAUGAGAUUAUUAUAAAAACAAAAAUGUCAGGCUGGUCUGUUGCUUAAUAUUAUAGCUCAUACUUAUUUCAGAUAUCUUUGACAUCUCUUGUUAAUUUUCAAAUAAAGAAGCUGAAGCCAGAAGUUAACCUGUUUGAAUGAGGUCACAGAUCUAAAUCUGAAACUUGGACUUGAUUAUUUCCAAUGUGCAUCUUCUAGUUUCUUACAUUUCAAUACAGUUGUGCUCAAUCAAAGAGAUCCUAAUGAGCUUGCCCAAUUAAGAUAAACUUCCCAAGAACACUGGACCCUCACUGCUUAGAAGAUGGAGAUUUCUAUUCAGAACCCUGAUCUGAUGUCCCCAGUUGUUGACACCAGCAUAAUCUAAUACAAUGGUGUUUUCUGCAGCAGUAUUUUAGAUUUCAUCAGUUGGUCUAUAUGUUGGAACUGUAAUAUGAUGAUGAAGCCCAUCCAGUUGACCUGAGGGUUCAAAGGUGAAAUUAAUAGAUCAGCUCAAAAAUGUGGGUGUGACUAUAUGGUAGGCCUAGGAACACCUGAGGGUUUCAAAAACCAUACUAUUUUCUGAACCUUUAGUUUGGUCAGGAUUCCACUUGUUUUCCACCCUGGCAUCUGCCUUUAAAACUGGGUUCUCCACCUCGUUACGGGUUGGAUAUCAGUGGUCACCAAGCUACAUGAAGAAGACAAUAGAAUGAUAUCUUCUGACUUAGCCCAGCUGAGAAAGUCCUUAUCGUUCCCCAGAACAAGACGGUUAAAUACUGUGUCUUAUUGUAUCUCUAGGAGUACAAAUAUCUGCGAAUAGCAUUUUUUUUAGGUUUUAUCUUCAUGACUUUUGGUGAAGAUCUGAAAACUCUGAACAAUUGUGAAAACAGCAUUAGCAACAGAAACUUCCUGGACAAGUUCAGAUACACUAGACCAGAGGUUUUCAAACUGUUGUUUGAAAGGAGACCCAUCAAGUAGGAGGUAAUAGUCACAGGCUUCCCAACACACACAUGCAUGUGCGCACACACACACACACACACACACACACACACACACACACACAAAAUACAGCUUCCCCAAAAGCAGUUCUGUAUGUGGCCAAAAUCAAAUUUGGAAACUACUUCAUGGAGUCAGUAUAAUGUAGAAUAUUGCAAGUCCAGGUACCCGACUGCCUGGUGGCUUUGAAUUCCAGCUAUACAGUUUUCUAUGUGGUCUCUAUGCAAGUAUAAAAAAAUUCACUGGGCUUUAGUUUUCUCAUCUAUAAAAUGAGAUUAUAAUAGUAUACUCCUCGCAGAGUUCAAGUGAGGGUCAAAUGAUAUUAUACAUGCAAAGUGCUUUGAACAGUGUCGGCAUGCAGAAAGCAUUUGAAAAUGUUAUAGUACAUUAACAAUUGUGACUAUUAUUGCUACCAUUACUGUCAUGUUAUGUUAGAUUGAGAUUUUUAAAAAUGAAAUACCAAAGUAUAAAUAUUGAUUAUUUGAUCUUAAGCAGCAUUUGUGAGACAGAGAAUUUUCUUGCAGUAUGCAGGAAAGCAGCAAAAUUUGGCACUCUAAGUUGAUAAGUUAAGAAAAAAGUGACUUGGCAGUGUUUUAUCACAGUGGGAACUUGUGGCUCUUCAAACAUCUGAUCACAUACAUUGAUCUACCUUGAUAUUUGCAUGUGAUAUAUGACAUACAGUGUGAAAAUGCUAACCUCAAUAAACUAAGAAGCAGAUGUACUUCUUUUUAAACUUAGUAUAGUUUAGUUUCUAUCAUUAAUAGUUUAGAUAGAGAUAGCAUUAAUAGAGUAGAAACAAAAUCUUAGGUAUCUUUAUUCUAGUUGCCCUCUGGAAACUAGACUCAUUGAACAUUUAAAAAGUAGAACUAACUAUUCUAGUGGCAGAUUUGAUUGGACUACCACAUACUUGCAUGUGGAAGCCUGAUUCAGUCUGUAUUACAAACCUCUGGAUGUGAGAAAAUACACCUGUAUUUGUGUGACAAUUCUGAUCAGAUAAGAGGAUUCAGAAGGUGUUCAAUUAUUCUUAUGAUACAUUUAGUUUUUUCUUCAUUUCUAUGAACAACUUAUACUUAAUUUCAGAGUCCAUUCUUAUAUUUCAGCCAUAGUCUUACCUCUAGGUUCAAGUCUUGCAGAAUUUUCAGGGUAAAAUAAACCAUUCAGUUGGCUGAAUUUUGAUCUCUGAGGGGAGGAGAAUGGUUAAAAAAAAAAAAACACCUAUACAUAGCACUUACUUUGAGCCAAGCUUAGUGUUUUAGAUGCAUUGAUUCAUUAGAAAGGAAGAAAGUGAUGAAAGGUUAAGUCACGUAUCCGAAAUUCCACAGCUCAAGAAACCAAGAUGCAAAGCCAGGCAGACUUGCUCCCAAGUCUUGCUUCUUAAUCACUCUGUUAUUCUGCAUCACACACACACACACACACACACACACACACGCACACACACAUACACACAAACACCCUAGAUAUACAAAUAGGAAGAUGAUUUUUUCUAGUCAUCUGAUUAUCUCAGGCUACAAUUGUAAUAACUAUAGGUAUUAUAGGUGUAUUGGUCAUGGUUUCCUGAUUAGUAUUCAGCCAGUUUGACCAAUAUGAAAAUCUCAUUUGCAAUUAAAGAAAUUUUAAAAAGGAAAAGAAUACUGCUAAUGCUUUUGAGCCCCUAUUUAUAUGGUAAAUCUCUUCCUCACUUCACUCCCAUUAAAUGAAGCAUUAUAAUUAAUUCUUGUUUUCUUUCUUACUUUGGUAUAAAUAUUUCUACAAUAGUUUUAGUUAAUUAUAGUUAUUGCUGGCAUUUCUGAUGAAUAACAAUCCCUGACCAAAAUAAGACAUCCUUUUCUCAAAAGAUGAAAAUUUACAAGUACAGAAAAAGCAAGCACCAUAUUUUGUUUUUGUUGAAGUCUUCUAGUGAUUUUUUUCAGUUCUAUUUCUUAAAAUUAAAUGUGAAGAGCCUUGUUACACUGAAAUUAAUUCAUAGUUCUGGGUUUGAAUUUUUUCCUCAACUUUAGGUCUGUUAGUCUUUAGGUAACACAGAUAAAUGAAUGCCCUUUCAAAUACUUAUUAAUAAUUUCAUGUGAAUGCAACAGUGAUCACUAAUAUUAAUCUCUUUCUGGAAAAGUAUAAUUUAUUAAUCUUUUUCAUGAUUAAUUGAUGCAAUUUUAAUAGCAGUAUUUAAUUUUUUUCUAAAAGUAGUAAUUUCUUUUUCUGAAUAUAUGGCAGGAUAUGCGGCUGUACAUUAACCUUUAUUUAUAAUAAAUGUAAGGACGUAAGGAUUCUUUAUAGAAUAAUAUAAUUUAUUUAUCAUAAAAAGUGUUAUAUGUCAUUGGAAAAAUAUUUUAAGAUUUCAGGGGUUCUUUCAACUUUUUAAUCAUCUUUUAGAAACAAAAACAAAUUUGUAUCAAAGCUACUAGGAUCAAUAGGUAAUGUAUAUUUACCUUAUUUUUCUAAAAGUAUUGUUUCCAGUAAUAUGUUCUCAACAUGUUCUCAACUCCAGAUUUUAAAAACAAGCAAUCAAGCUUGAAAUAAUUCUAUCAUUUGCUAUCUGAAUUUAGAGCAACUGACAAAGUUGGGAAUGACUUGCCCAAGGUCAUGGGUAAGAAAUUUGUAUUUAAUUUUUAGGCUAACACUGGAAAUCUGUAGCAUUAACUAGUCAUGUAUUGAAUCAUUUCUUAAAUAAUAACCAAGAGAAAUCUGAACUAGAAUUUUUAACUUCUCUAUCAUCAAAAGUGUUUAAGGUAGAACUCAAAUAUAUUUUAUCAUAUAAUUUCUUUAAUAAGGAUUUUAAAUUGUUCUUAAUUGGGGAUUAGAAAAUAAUUAUCCCUGAAAUUGAGGCCUAAAGUCUGGCUCAAGGCUGAAGUUCCUUUCCUGUCAAAUGAAGACAGUUAUGUGGAAUAAUUCCGAUACAGUUCUAGCAUUCUCUGAUUCUCAUGUCGUGAUGAGCAGGAAUUGGAACAAUAAUCAAUAUUAAUUCCACUUACAUACACACUAGUCCUAAAUCAAUGCCUUUAUUCUUGAUCAUUUCAUCGUAUAGGGAAUAGCCUUUAACUACCUGAUAAUUAAAAAUAUGGUGACACUGGAAGCAAAAGUAUUAAUUAACUUAGCUAAUAUUCACAGAAAAAAACCAUGAAGUUUUUCUUUAACUAUCCUAGAAUUUCUGGUUAAUAAAGAGACUCAGAUCCUGAAAGUUUUGAACACUUGGCUAAGUAAUGUAAGUGUGCAAAGACAAUUUAAAAUAAAAUAACAAUAAUGUAAUAUAAUUUUUCCAAACAUUCAGUACUAAGAGAACCAGGUUGCUCAUGGUGUUAGACUUCAUACAUUUUUUUACACAUCAUCUUUACUGUUUUGAAAAUUCACUAAAGGUGUAUAUUUUCAUAAAUAUGUUCUAGAUAUUUACAUUAAUUUUCCUUCUUGAAAAUUUCCAGCCUACAGGGGUUCUAAUAUGUGACAAAUGAGUGUUUUUGUAAUUGGUGAAGAUAGGCUCAAAACAACCUAUGCGUCCAUAUUUUUUUGCAGACUUCCAAGCACUUACCAGUUUAAGGGCAUAUGAUAGUUGAGAUCAUUCAUAGCCAGAUUAAAGUUCUUUAAACAGUAUUUCCAAUAUUUUAUGAAAUUCAUAUUUGGCCCCAAAAUAAUGCAAUUUUUUAGACGUUGCAUAUUUUCUGUAAGAAUAGUAACUCUGCAUCUUCAUGGGCACUUAGCUCCCAGUACCUAGUUGGCAGGCCACUGAAUAGAAAGGUUCCAGAAGCCAUUAUAUGUGUUUAUUGUCUUUAUUGAUAGUAAUCAGCCAAUUAGCAUUUUCAUUGAGUAUUCUCAUAGUAUCUUCAGCAUUCUGCUAUGGGUGAAAAGGUAGUACAGAUGAAUUAUAAGGUUGUAGGGGAGUUUGAAUGCUAAUUGAUACCAUAAACAAGUAGAGACUAAAACAUAGACUUUAAUGCAUUUAUGAGGCCAUACAGUAAGUAGGCCAGGCCCUGUGUGACAGUUGGUGACAAAACCAUGAAUAAGGGAUGAUCCUUGCCCUUGAAGAAUUCUGUCUAGUUGUAGCAGUUCUGAGCUCUGAGAACGUGAUGAAAGCAAUUAAAUAUCUGCAUUGUCGUGAGCUUUGAGUUCCCCUUGGAGCCCAUCUAGAAGUUUCAGGAGUGGUGAAUGAGUACCGAAUUUUGACAACUACAUGAGAGAAGAAUGAAUGAAGUGCAAUCUGAGAUUCAAGCAACUUUGAAAUCAUUUUAAACAUUUGGUGGGGGAAUGACUUAUCCAUCUGUUGAUUUAUCUAGUCAUUUCUAAAUCUAAUGCCUAUACUCUGUUUCCAGAGUUCACUUUCAAAAAUACAGCAUUAAUCAUGUCACCCCAUGUUUUAAAUUUCCCAUGGACAUACACCAUCAGAGAGCCUGAAGACAGUUCCUCCCCACCCAGCACUGCCCCUGCCAGUGCCUGCCCACAUCAUUGAGGCCUGGGUACCAACCCAGCCUGCCGGAGUCCAGACACAUUGUCCAGGGAUCUGAGGAUUCACCCGCCCUGUCUACCACCACUGGUGUCUGUGCACUCCUCCCAGGGGUCUAAGGAUGGGUCUGUCAAGCCUGCCAUCACCACUGCUGCCAGCACCCACCUGCAUGAGCCACAGGGGGGCCUGAGGACUGGUCCUUCCAGCCCACUACCACCACUGCUGGUGUCCAUGUGUAUGACUUGGGGAUCCGAGGAUAGGUUCAGUGCUGAUACUGCCUUUACUAAUGCCAUGCAUGCCACCCCUGGGCCCAAGGACCUAACUGCCCAUCCAGCCCACCACUGCCACUGCCAGAACCUGAGUAAGCUGCCUGGACCUGCUACCACUGAUACCUGCCUACACCACCUAGGGGCCUAAAGCCUGUCAUGCUCAGCUCACUGUUGCCACCAGUGGGGCCCAAGGAUCAACCCACCUUGUGUCCUUGUCCUCAGCAAAGCCUCCUUAGCUUCUGCUAAAAACUGCAGCCUAAGCUGCUGAGGAACUCAGAGACACCACUGAUGCUGAUUAUAGCCAAAGAAAUCAUACAGAGACUACUGUGUCCACUUAGAAGUAAAACCAAACCACCCUAUUCAACCAACACUAUAGUUCAUCUAUAAAGAAAAACAUUUUUCCUUAUGAAACCCAAUCUAUAAAACUGGAAGAAGCAACUGUUAUACCACAUAUAGAGGUAUCAAUGUAAGGACACAAGAAACAUGAAAAGGAAACAUACCUCUAAUGGAACACAAUAAUUCUUCAGCAACAGACUCAACAAAAAAGAAAUCUAUGAAAUUCCUGAAAAAGAAUUCAACAUAAUGAUAUUAAAGAAGCUCAGUAAAAUAGAAGAGAACACAGAUAAACAAUACAAAUAAUUCAGAAAAACAGUUUAUGAUCUGAAUGAGAAAUUUGACAAAGAGAUAUUAUAAAAAAGAGUGAAACAGAAAUCCUGGAACUGAAGAAUUUAAUCAAAUGAAAUAAAAAAUACAGUUGAGAGCUUCAACAAUAGACUAGAUCAAGCAGAAGGAAGAAUUUCUGAAUAUGAAGACAUCUUUUAAAAUAACCCGGUAAGGCCAGGCAUGGUGGCUUAUGCCUGUAAUCCCACAGUUUGGGAGGCUGAGGCGGGUAGAUUGCUUGAGGCCAGGAGUUUGAGACCAGCUGGCCAACAUGGCAAAACUCCAUGUCUACUAAAAAUAAUAAAAAUAAAACUAGCCAGACGGGGUGGCGUGUGCGUAUAAUUACAGCUACUCGGGAGGCUGAGGCAUAAGAAUCACUUGAACCCAGGAGGUGGAGAUUGCAGUGAGCCAAGAUAGCACCACUGCACUCCAUCCUGGAUGACAGAGUGAGACUGUCCAAAAAAAAAAAAAAAAUCCUGAGAUUUUAAAAA